rnacentral:rRNA from 1 species
GGUUGUGUGCGGGGGUGCGGGGGCGGGAAGACGUGGGGCGGAAGGUGUGUCCGGGAUUGUUGGUGGUAAGGUGUUCGCAGGCGGUUUGUCGGGGCUGUGGUGAAAGCCCGGGGCGUAACCCCGGGGCGGCAGUCGAUACGGGCAGGCUAGAGUUCGGUAGGGGAGAUCGGAAUUCCUGGUGUAGCGGUGAAAUGCGCAGAUAUCAGGAGGAACACCGGUGGCGAAGGCGGAUCUCUGGGCCGAUACUGACGCUGAGGAGCGAAAGCGUGGGGAGCGAACAGGAUUAGAUACGCCAGUAGC